rnacentral:misc_RNA from 1 species
ACAUCCUUCAACCUUUCUUGGUUUCUCAAUCAAGGAAGGCUUGGACUUUGGGGGUUUUUCAUUGCUGGCCUCUGUUGAAGCCAGCUCCUCCUAAAUGGAUUAGUAGGGUCUGCUUUGCCCGAUCCUUGACGUGAUAAGAUGUUUCUACGUCUUGGGUUUAGCACUGUUGCUUUGGGCCCUGCUUCUAACCGUCUUGCAUUCAGGACAGUGUCAUGAA